AAUGAACGCUGGCGGCAUGCCUAACACAUGCAAGUCGAACGAAGGCUUCGGCCUUAGUGGCGCACGGGUGCGUAACGCGUGGGAAUCUACCCUUGGGUUCGGAAUAACUCAGAGAAAUUUGAGCUAAUACCGGAUGAUGGCGACAGACCAAAGAUUUACCGCCCAAGGAUGAGCCCGCGUAGGAUUAGCUAGUUGGUGGGGUAAAGGCCCACCAAGGCGACGAUCCUUAGCUGGUCUGAGAGGAUGAUCAGCCACACUGGGACUGAGACACGGCCCAGACUCCUACGGGAGGCAGCAGUGGGGAAUAUUGGACAAUGGGCGAAAGCCUGAUCCAGCAAUGCCGCGUGAGUGAUGAAGGCCUUAGGGUUGUAAAGCUCUUUUACCAGGGAUGAUAAUGACAGUACCUGGAGAAUAAGCUCCGGCUAACUCCGUGCCAGCCGCCGCGGUAAUAC
rnacentral:rRNA from 1 species